UCUGCUAUGAACUCCUUUUGCUCCCAUGCAGCCAAUGCUCUGCUCUUCUUUUUGCACCCUCUGAGCUGAGAGCCUUUGGGUGUGCAGGUAGAGGCAGGCAAACUGUGAGGCUGUCUCUCCUCCCCCAGCCUCCUGCUUGCAUGGAAUCUGCAUCAAUUUGAGUGUGCCACGAGUUGCUCAGGUUUAGGAGGAGAUGACCUCUCACUUCAGAGUUAUUGGGAACAGCUUAAAGCCUUGAUUCCUCUGGAAAUGCAGGAAUAAACAUGGGGACCACUGGGCACCAUCUCUGUGCCCGUUCUGCUGUUGUGAGUGCCUGGGGAUCCAACCUGUGGAAAUUGAAGUCUCUGAGGAUUCCUCUGUGACCAAAGACUGGAUUUCUCUUCUCAAAGAGUCAGCUUUUGAGCAUUCCUUUGUGGAGCUGAAAGAACAUAAAGUUAUCACAGAGAACCUCAUUAAAAGUGUUUAAUGAGAGCAAUGCAAUCCCACAGUCCAAGGAUCAGCAUGAUAGCAAGGACAGCCCAGAAGCCUCAACCCACCGGAGCUGGACAUCACCAAGUGACCCCAUUCACCGAGCAACAUGCUGACUGCUGUCACCAACACCCAGACAAGCACAGGAGACAAAGCAACCUAAGAGAACUGCACUUGGGUAACAACACCGGCGUGAAUUUCUCAGCCUAGAACAAGCCAAGAUUCACUUCUGGCCAAAAUUCCUGCACUAAUGUUAACCACCAUCUGAUUACAUGAAUUUCCUGAGGUCCUGAUGCAAGCCCCGGUUAUAGAAAGGGCUCACGUGGACACACUGCAGCCCUGGUCUCCUGCCUGCUGGUUCCCACCUCUGCCUCUGGUUGGUCCAGUGCCCCAUGCAGCCCCAUCACCUGCAUUCUACUCCCCACUGGAAAAACAUGCUCGUUUUCAAAGGUAAGAGAGUCUUGAGUUACUAGGAACACAAAUCAUUAUGACUAAAACUGCAUUCCCAAUUUAUUGUAUUUGUUUUAUUUAUAAUUUUAUUACUUAUUCCACAUUUUCCAUAUUUUCCAUGUGUUUCACGUCAUUCUGGUCCGUUAGGCCUUGACGUGGAAACUUGGGCUCUUCUCCCUGCCUGAUGUAUUGAAGGCUUUAUAAACGACCUUGUUUCAUUGUUUGCUCUGCCUGUUUCCAUCCCACAGGUGUGUGGCUAAAGCUGGGCUUGGGACAAGUCCGAAUGCUCUCUCUGCCUGGGGAAUAGGGUGGGGCUGAAGGCAGCAAUUAACGCAGUAAGUGGUGAAAACUAAGCAAAUUGUUCAAGUGGCGCUUUAACAAAGAACAGUUUGAGACUCCUGUGAUUUGUGGGUUUUCUUUUUCAUGUUAAGGAAAGAAGAGAGAUGGAGAUUUUUUCCACACAGUCAAUGUGUUGCAUGUGCACACCCAGACUUCUCACUGAACCAAAAAACAAUUCACUGACUGAGGAAACUCUUCCACACAUUAGUUCGUUCCCUGCACUGCACAUCUGCUCCUGGAAGGUAAUGUCAUGCAUCUGGGUCCAUGGUUAAUUGACUAUUUUCUCCUCUCCUAGAUGCAUAGGCAGCAAGUAUUUGCUUUCAUGCUCACAUCUGACCACAAUCUGUGAGCAAAUCAGGCAUGUUCAGUAAUGUUGCUCUUAGCUGCGCUUCCAAGGUUUUGUGUCAACAGGAACAUUAGGUCAAUUUGCAAACAGACCCAGAAAAUCUGGUGCAGCAUCUCUCACACUCUUGACAGGGACUGCUUGAAUUCAGCAUUGCCAGGCUAACAGUUGUCAUUCAGCUCUUGAGCAGAUUUGCACCACCACCUCAUCUAUUUUUCAUCAGUCUUGCACCCUCUUUGCCAUCCGUGUCAAUCUAUGAGUUCAGUCUGAUUCAGUUCAAUCCCACACAAACCAGCACUCAGACCUGAGUAGUCACUUGGAUAGCAAAAAGAUGCUCAGUUCCUGCAAAGGAAAAGAAAAGUCCAAGAAGCAACUCAUUGAGUUUAUUCCAGACAAACUCCAUGGCAAUUGGGAUGAUUCUUAAGGUCCCUUCCCCAACCCAAGCCAUCCUAUGAGUCCAGAGAAACAGGAAGAUUGGAUUAGAACAUCUGGUGGCGUAAUUAGAUUUGCUAAGAAGCUGACACUCCAAGCUGCUGCACCUCCACAACUGUUGUGCUGCAUCACCUCCACUUCCCCAUGCUCUGCAGCUGCUCUCGCCUCACCCUGUGCUAACCCUGGUGCUGACCUGCCCCAGCUCCCCAUUAGAGCUGCAAUUAGGGGGUGACUCUUAAUAGCGAGGUCUUGCUUCAGAGUGAGGAGAAAUGUUUCUGUAGCUCACACGCCACAAUUAAAGAUAAUUUAAAAUGUAAGUAAUUGCACUAGGUAUCUGGAAACUACUGUAGAGGUCUUGUCCCAGGCAUCUGACGGGCACGGUGGUGUAUUUUGACAAGUUUUGUGCAGAUUUCCAUUAAAUACCGACUAGCAGCUCUAUUUUCUUUGGAGUCACUGGUCAGGAAACGGUGAUUGUGAAAGGUCGGGUCUGGAAGGCUUGGGAGGGGAUGGAGGUGUUAUUCACGUUCUGAUCCAUGGGGAUCCAGUUCCAACAUAAAUCUUGCAGUUGCUUCAUCCUUACUUUCUUCAGUCUUUCAGCAGGAGAAAGGUACAAGCUGAGCCACAGGGGUCUUCUGUUGAGUUUCACUGCCCCUGCUGAGAUGCAAGGCGAGGUGGGAUCUACAAAAUCGGCAAACUGGAGAGUCUGGUUUUAGACACCUGGCAAACAGCAGAAUGGUUGUAUCCCCACCCAUCCUAUCUCAGCAUUGCACUAAACCUCCCAGUUUGCAAAAGUAGAUGAGAAAUUGCAAUUUGUUCAAGGCUUCUGCAAGGUCAGCAAAGUGUGAACAUCCUGCAGAAUGCACCCAGAUACUUUUAGAGGCUCAGCAGUCCCUGAAAGAGCUUUGCAUCGUGCAAACAAACUGUCAGAUGAGCUUGGAUUCUGCCACAUGUCCUAGUGCUAAGGAGCCAUCUGUGUGCAGCACACUGCACAUGACUUUUCCUCUCGCCAUUUCUUCUCCUUCUCUUUUCUUCCAAGUCAUCUCUUUUUUGACCUACAUUUAAGAUAUAAAGUGAAUCCCAGCUGAGCACAGAGUUAAAUAUGCAGCCCAGUACCAGCAUGUAAAUGAAGAGUCAGUCUGUCUACAUCAGAGCAAGAACAAGCACAUGAAAACAGAAUGAUCAGAAAGUGGGAAGGGACCCAUCCUGAACAUAGUCACCUUCUUUCACAUUUCAUUGGUCUGGCUUCCUCUUUCAGUUAUGGAGACUCUUCUCCAAAGUCAUUUCAGGUGGGCCUGUAAAAGAACUUCAGUGUCACAAAAAUGCAGAGAGAAACCUGCACCACACUUGAAAACUGCACUGUUAUUUCUGCUUCCAUAACCAGUUUUCUCACAUAUGCUCAAAAGCCAGAGAUAACUCCUCUGUACUAUAGAUGUCUUCAGCUUGUGCCUGUGGGUAGUAGAAUUAAAUAUGUGCAGAAGCAGUUGCAUGAUCAGGAUCUCUGAAAGUUCUACCUUUGUAUAGCGAAUAGAAGACAAAAUACAUAUAGGAAAGCAAAGCUAUGAAAGCUUCAUCCUCAUUAUUGCUUUCAAGUGGCUGCCUUUCUGUCUAUCAUAAUUCAAAUGCAUUGGUAACACCACCAAAAAAAACCCUCAAAACCAUAAUGGGAUUUCAUGAAGACCAGAAAUGAAAUCAAAUACACUCAUAGAAAAUAGUUCUUAUUUAAAGUGUUACUUACGUCACAGACAGGUCACUAAAGCUGAGACAAAAUGACCAGAGCUGGUUGGGGGCUUUGGUCUUUUCAAGAGCCUACUUUAAGCUCUAAGUUGGCAUCACUCCCUUAAAUUUUGCCUUUAAAGCCAUUGAGAUGCUCAGACCCAGCACAGGGCACAUUGCCAUGACCCAGGUGGGGACUGAGUGCCCCUGACCAAUGUCACUGUGCCCCAGGCAGGGGCCUGUGCGAUGCCUGGGUUCUCUUCAAAGGGAGGUUUACAUUACCAUCACAGCACUGCCUUCACCUCAUUUCCUAGCUCAGCCCAUUUGGAGAGCAUUCUAUGCUCCGUCACACAAGGGACAGGAGGGGGGAGAAACACAGGCAAAACACAUCUAGCUUUGAAACACCAGCAUCCACAUCUCCAAACCUGUGCAAAACCCUUGUAGGACUCUUGGAGGUAAGCUUUUGAAAGUGUUUUAGAACACAUCAUACAUAGGAAAAUAACGUGCUACAGAAACUUGGCAAUGGGUUUGUCUCCAGUAGCCAAGUUGGGCAUGGAAAAAAAAUAAAAAAAUAAAAAAAAAUUAGACAAUAAAAGGUCUUUUCUAGCCAAGUUUUAAGUGAGUAUACAAUACAUACCUUUUUUUUUCCCCCGUUCCUUGCCUUAGUUAUUGGCCAACUUGGCCAGGAUCUUAUGGAAAACACUGAAAUGGAAUUAUUAUAAUUGUGUUGGUUUUUUUCCCUUUCUUUUUGACCAAGCAAAAGUUCUUAUAAGCAAUAAUUUAAUUACAGCAAAAGCAUAACACAGACACAGUCUUAAGGAUGCAUCACCAAAAGAAAACCCACAGCUCUUUCCUACACCAAACUUUAAACUACAGCUACUUAGUGUGCACCAGUGAAUAAUACUAUCUCUACUUAUAUUUCUUACUUAUUUAUUACAAAGCCUGUCAUAAAGUGGAAAAUUACUGAUGCUGAUCACCUUUCCAACCAUUCUGGGUGUAAUAGAAGAGUUUUGCAAAGCUGAACUCAGUGAGAGAAUAAAGGAGUCAAGCAAAAGAAAGAAACAGGAACCACCAGCCUGAGAUCAACAGGAAUAUUAUAAGCUGCGGAUUUGGAGCCGUGUUAAAUCGUUUCCUUUCUGCCACUUACUGAGUGAAGAAGGCCGUUCCUUUGCAGAGUUGAUCUGAUAUGUUCUCAUAUUCUCUAGGGAAAUAUCCUUCCAAGUCAGAUGACUUCUUAGCAAGUGAAGCUUUUGCCAGCCGUGUUUACCUCCUGGCAAAUUUCUGUCUUUUCACAAAACAAAAAUGCAAGGUUUAUAAAAUAAAUAAGUCACCACCCCAUUUCUAUUUUUACCAUGGGAAAAUGGGAGAAAGCUGCAGCAAUGGAAAAAGCAAAAUAUUUUCAGUUUGGAGAGACUGAUAUUUUUAAUAGAAUAUAUUGAUGGCAAAGAGAGCAGAGUGUUUUUCCCUUGGUAAAAUUUCAUGGCAGAACACCAAAAGCUGCACCAGAGUUGGAUGGAAAGGGUAAAAGCAAUGAGCAACACUGGAGUCACGUUGGAUGGGGCACAUACAUAACAACCUGAUUGCUGACAUGUUCAGUGAGUGGCUGAUGGCCCCUGGUGACGUGCUGGUGAUGUAUGAGCCCAUAGGGAGAAAUAUCUGCAGAAAUUCUGAGGAGAGGAGUAUGUUGUUUUGUUGCAAAGUUUAGAACUCAUCCCACUGCUGCGUCAUCAGCUCAGGUCUUUGUCCCAGCCAUUCCUUUGUCUCUUGCUCAGCCAUGACCCAUUGCUCAUCUGCCAGGCCAACAGGACACCAAAUCCUGCCUAAAUACAAGAACCUCAGAGCAUCAGUAAGGCAUCCCACCCAGCCAAAGAACCCAGAGGAAGCUUCUAAGCUUCUAUGAGUCACUCAUCAUCUCAAGCAGCAUUAGAAGGAAAUCGCCUUAGGGCACUGUCAUCACCAUUUGUGAGUAUUCGUUGACAGCAAAUGUCUGUGCUACUGUUAUGAACCUCAGGCUGGGCUAGGUUUGAACCUAAGAUCACCACUUUUAACACAUAUACAUUGGCCAGCUGGGCUGCAAAAUGGAGAAUUCAGCAUCACCAGAAGCUGGCAGUUGCUUUAAAGUUAACGUGCAUCAUUGCAUAGCCUUUGCCAGCAACAGAUGCAGACUGAUGGACUUAGCUUAGUUAAGAACAAAAUAUUCUUACAUCCCAAUGAACCUACAAAGAGGGAGGUGAAAAAAUAACCAUUAGUGAUCUGGAACUAGACUUGUUAGCAGGGGACAAGACUGCAAAUAGAUAUACACACACAAACUUCUGCCAUUGUUACACAAUCUUUCACAGCUACCAACAACCUGCACAUUAUCCCUGAGUCUAGUUCAUGUCCCCAUGGUCUGAUGGCAUCACCAGGAGCGUGCUCAUGUGUUCCAGCAAGGGAAAGCAGCACAGACUGGAGGCUUCCCAGGCUGAUGCAUGUGUCACCUAAAAACCUCCUUCCACAUAUCACAUUGCAAGACAUCUCCCUGAAUUUAUACUGCCUACAAACCAACUGGCAAACAGACAUUACAGCUUCUCCUAAAAGUUAGGUGAGAAUCAGCAAGGAGGAGGCUGGACUAUUUUCUCCCAUCUCUUCUUCCAGGCUGCUCAGCUCAGUCUGUGUAACCUCAUCAGCCUCCUAGCAAAAAGCUAUUUUUGCCUCUUAAACAAGCACAAGAAAAACCUUAGUUGAAGCAUAACAGAAAAGAGCUUCAUAGUUUGCCUGGAGAAGGGGAAUGCAAGGUGGUGGUUGGCAGCUCUCUAUCUUAUCUGAUGGAGCCUAGACCCAAUUUUGCCUAAGAUCCACAGACAAAUUGAUGUGCUCACAAAGGGUGGCUGAGAUCCUAGCAGAGCUGAAAGCAGCUUGAGUACUGACAGAGCACGCUGUUAGUUGUUGCUUACAAAUGAUUCUCAUUAAGAGCAGAAGUCAGGCAGUGAUCGCCUUCUGCAGUUGAUAAUAGUGAAGGAGGGAGAUGGUGGAAAAACGAAACCUUGGAAAAUAAAACUUAUUUGGCACCGCUGAUUAAAACCAGUUUGUGUUUCAUUGUGAAAGGCUGUGUUUGCUCAAGGUUUAUUCAGCUCUGGUCUCUUCCAUCCACAUACGGUUUGUUUUAAUGACUGUGGAGUUAUAUGAAUCUAUUAAUUUUUUUUUCCUGAAUGUUUCAUAAUAACAAUGCCCAUUUUUUUUUCAUACACCACUUUACAGCCACGCGUCUGGAAAUACAUUGCAAAUAAGCAAUUAAGGUCAGCCCUAUUUUGAAGAUGGAGAAACUCAGAGUCCAAGCAAGACAACUAUUAAGGAGCAGUGCCAAAAUUUGGCCUUUUGCUUCAUCUUGUCAAACUAGAGCUUCUUGAAGACAACAAGGAUGCAUGAAAAGCAUUUCAUUUAGUUGGCAGUAACUCUGGCUCAGGUUGGGCAGACAAGAGAACAGCAGCAAGGACAGACUGACUCAUGCUAAACAACAGAGGUAGGAAGAGGACUUCCAGUAAUGACAGACUUAAGACACUGCAACCACUUACAUCCCAAAUCCAGCGCUGAGGGAUCCCCCUCCAAUGAAGGGCUUCACAGGUUCCUGUUUUCUGACGAGACCUUGCUGCAUUUAUCCCCUUCAUGUUCUUUAACAGGAAGAUCUGGAAAGGUUAAAGAGCAGAGUUGAAAACCAGUAAGAUAAUAUUAUUUGAGGCAAAUCUCUAACCCUUUAAUCAGGCUACGUGGGAGGCAAAAAAAUGUUAGAUGCAAGGGAAUAUUAAAUUAUUAAUACUGUGUUCAAGUUGAGAUUAGUCAGAUUCCAGAGACAUAUAGUAACUAACUGCUGCCACCUCUGAUAUGGAUAUGUGGAGGCAAUGAGCAGGCUCACAGCAAGGAAGCAGGUCCUGGGCAGGAUAUUGCUGCCAGACAUUGUGGUGAUGCACUCAGCCCUUCACAUAGCUGCUGGAUGUAAGGCCACAGCCCCUGCAAAAGCUCAGAGCAGCUUUAUUCCAGGGUGCUGCAUGAUCUUCUUACCUUUCCGUGACAUCCAACCCAACCUGGGGUGCUGCAUCCAGGGAUACCCAGUCCUGUCUGGUGCUCCUGGAUCCCUGCACACAGGUAGGGAUGCUCAGAAGUGUCAGAGAUGGGAGAGGAAAAAAAAAUGAGGUAAUGAACAGGUAAAAAAUGAAUAGGCAAAAAUACAGACACGAUGAAGUGAAGAGUAAAAAAACAUUGAGAAGAAAAACACAAAAGAGCUAAAGAUAUCAAGAGGGAAAGAGAUGGUGAAUGGCAUGAAGGGAGUUAAUGAGAGCCAGAAAUGCAAGUUGGAGAAAUGUUGAUUUUAUUUAGCAUUAAUUGCAGGAAAGAGCCUAUAAAGUGUGGUAAAAAAAUUAUUAAGUACCACUAUGCAAUGCCAGCUUUAUGCCAGCCAUCCCUACGAAGCAGGUGUAUUAUUCCUAGUUCCCUAGGUAUAAAUAAAUAACUGCUUUUCCAUUUUUUUUCUUUUUUUUCUUUUUUUUCUUUUUUUUUUUUUUUAAUGAUGGCUUUUCAUUAAUUUUUACUGCCAUAUUGUUACAGUUCUGAUUCCUCCAGAGCAGCUCUGGAGAUCGGUCAGUGCUGGAGCGUUUGUAUGCAGGUCAGCACAUGUGAGCCAUGGAGCCACUGUCCAUGAUCAUAGCACCCCAAGGGGGGCAGCCCUGACCCUCCUGCCCAUGCACCAAAACAUGACUUCACCCAUGGUCUGAGCUCUGACAGCAACAUCUGGGUAAAUACAGAAAGGAACCUGAUGGAAAACGGAUGGAUAAUAGACAGUUACAGGGUGACAUGUAUUGCAUUGAGGGCUAACACAGCAAAGCCCAGGAGAAGCAGAGGGACCAGGUUAUCCAAAGAACCUUACCUGAGACUUAGGUUGCCCUGGGAAAGAACAUUCUGAUGGACACCAACCUGGUACAAGCACUGGUAUCACAUCAACCUAUUGGUCCUGGUGUGAGGGACAGGGAGUUGGGCUUCCUCUUCCAUCCCAGCCAUCCAGCACUCCUGACUGCAUGAGAAAAAGGAAAAUAAAACCUAUAUUCUGUUCCACUUUUAACUUCCUGCUCAUGCCCAUACACUCCUCCUGGCAUUAUUACAAACAGGCUCCAACGUCGCCUUUGUUAAGAAUGAGAGCAGAGCACAUUUCCCCAAGCAAUGUUUGUAUCAGCAUUUUCAGGCUCCUUUUAUCGAGUCUCGCACUUCUCAGAGGAGGCUCAGCAGGGAGAUGAGCUCUGGAUGCUUUUUCCUAGCAACGUCUCGCUUCAGAGAGGCCACCAAAGACGUUCAGGGAAGCAAUGAUUCCCUGGUAGUGCCUCAGUCCAAGCUCUGACCUGGAACCGUGGGCUCUGCAAAUACGCAUAAAUCUUCAGCUCACGUCCAAAUCAUCGCAAGGUUCAGUGAAAAUAGCAAAACUGCCAGUGGAUCUAACUGAAGUUGUAAUCCAGCUCCAGCAUGAUUUAUGGCCUCAGGUGGAAACCAUGAAGCACGAUGGCCUCAGCCCAAGCCAGGGGACGUUCGGCUGCCCUAAGCCCUAAGGUGUUGUGUUACGGCAUGGAAGAAUCAGGGCUGCAAGAGGCAUGGAUGAAACUGAACAGCACAAACACGUCCCAGCAACACCUUCAACCUCUGUGCAUCAUGGGCUGAACCAGUUUCUCAUCCCUGUGACAGCAGCGUGAUGUAGAGGUCACAAAACCCAGCCCAUCCCUAGGACACCCUGAUACAGCCUUGCACAUCAGCCCUUGUACACCCAUGCUGAGGUGAGUGCUGGCAAAAGCAAAAGACACAGGGAUGGUUCUUACCCUCUCUUCCAGCCUAAAACCAGAGAGAUCCCCAGCUCUUCUCAUUGGAAAUAUGUCAGCUUGCACUGAAAGGGUUUCUGCAGGCCCUGUGAUGUAAAUGAAGCAAUAUUAGUAUAAAAAUAAAUAAAUAAAUUUAAAAAGGUUUUUGUUCUUUUUUUUUAAUCAAGUGAAAGAAAGUGUGACAAGGAGUCAGGAGUCUGUCUGCCGUGGAAUAUUCCUGCAGCACUCGGGGCUGUGGUUUAUUUUACUGGUGGUGACUAGUUCAAGCCACAUUUAGUCAAUAAAUAUGAGAUAUGAGGUCACCCCGCCAUUUAGCUGUUACCCUGUCUACAUAUUUCACAGCUGGGCAGUAACCUUUUAACUAGCGUCUACCUCGGUGGGGAGUCUCCAUAAAAAAAGAGCCAGGAUCCCUUGGUCGUGGUGGGGGACCCAGGCGCAGCAGCUCCACAGGGAGAUCUGAGCAGAAGGGUUUGCACCAGGCUCUGCCUUUUGCUCUCAUGCCCGAUUGCAGCACACGGCACCCAGUUGGGCUACGUGCAGGGACUGGGUGAUGGAACCACAUCCCAUGUGCUGAGCUCUGCUGUAAGAUUUACCCCUUCUUCCAUAUGGAGAUGAGCCACAAGACAAGUUGCCUGUAAUUCCCAGCUUUGGGAGCACCUAUCCAAGGUGAGCUCCUCAGAAACAUUCAGCUUCCUCAGAAGGUUUAUUCUCCUCUGCCUGUGUCCACAGCUUCUCCUGUGUGCUUCUGUCUUACUCCAGAAUGAGGAUAUCUCUGUGUUUCUGAGCUCAUAACUCAAGCUCAAACUGCCUAAGAUUAAGCACGAGGGUAAUGGUGCCACACACAGCCAGGAGGAGAUGAUGCAUCCCCAGCUCUGUCACAACAUGGUGUGAAACCUCAAGGAUUUAAUUAAGGGAUUCUGCUGCUGUCCCCACAGCUCCACUGUGCCUCCUUGCCCACCUCUGGUACUGCCCAUCAGAAAGCAGUAAACACGAGCCUAGCCUGAGCUAAAGCACCUGGCUGACCUCCAGAAGAGCACACACAUCCCUACUAAAAUGAAACACAUGAGUGGACAUGGCAAGAAACAUGCAGGGAAGAGAAAGCAAACAAAAGCAAAACAGAGAGGCUAUGCUCAGGAAGGAGAGCUUUGGAGCAGAGCAGGGAGCUGUGCUGUUUGUUCUGCAUGCUGCAGUACAUGGAGCCCUGGGGCCUGGGCUAGCACUGAACUUGGUGCCCAAAAGGGAGAGGCAGGCAAGCAGCGAGCUCCUGCCCCCAACAUGCUGGGAAUCCCAGCCCAGCUCUGCCUCCCGACGUCACGCUAAGGCUCAGCACCAACACAGCUCCUCCCAGCUCUGCUGGAGCCUCCGAAAUCGGAACCUCUGCUGUCAGCUGCCUUUUAUAGGGCUAUAAAACCGACAGCUCAUGGGUAGAUAUUGGCCAGCAUCAGCCUCUGCCACCUUCAGCAUCGCUUCUGCACGUGGUCCCCAAAGCAACCCCCUGGGGCCCAGCCAACAGCCCCAUGGUUGGACAAGCAGACACAGACAGAUGGACAUAUAGAGCCAUAGAUAACUUGGUUAAACGUAUCUAUGUGAAACACAUCAAGCACCCAUAUAUAGAUGCUCAGCAACGUCACCAUGCUCACCAACAAACAGCAAUGCCAAUCCCAGCUACUGUGGGUUGAAUGCUCUCAAGCAAAGCAGUGCACACCAAGGCAGUAAAGCACCUGUACUCAGACACUCAGCAUCCUCACAGUACUCACACAGCCCCCACCCCUCACUGGGACCAUGCAGCAGUGCCACACGCUGUCACCAAGCACAGCAACAAACACACCUCCCUGUAAUGCUGGGCCCAGCGACAAGAACAACAUGCAGUAACACUGCACCCACCCACUGAGAACACCGAGUGUGUCACACUCCUGUGUGUCAUGUGUUUAAAAAUAUCCCUACCGACAGCCUUUCCCCCCGCCCCUUUUCUUUUUUCCUCCUCUUUUUGCAUUUAUUUAUAAUUUUUGAACACCCAACUUGGCCAGGUGGAAAAAAGCUUGCAUCAGAGCAAAGCUGAGGACGGUGACGGGUGUCGGCUUGUUGCAUGUUAAAUGAGAGGAAAGGGGAAAGAAGAAGGAAAAAAAAGAAGUUUGCAAUUACACGUUCUUUGCGGAGAGGUGUGGCCAUUGGCUCAGGGUUUGGUUUCAGCCUCAGUCGCACAGACAGAUGCUCAGAGAGGCGGCUUUCGUGGCUGCUGCAGACACACAAAGAGGAGCAGCCAGCAGCUGAGAUUUUAUGGGAGUAGAGGGAUUAGAAGCUAAUUGAAAGGCUGAGGAAGAAUUCGGUCCUUCCGCUCAGUGCAAGCUGCCCAGAGCUGCACAGAGUUGACAGCAGUGGCUGGGAGCAGGCAGGUCCCAUGGAGGGGCUCAGGUCCUCAUGCCAUCACAGCAGCCCCCUUCAUCCCCAAAUAAAUGCUGAGGUUAUAUUUAAAUUAUACUGUAUUUAAAUGUAGUGCUUCGAUAGGAAGCAACCAGAAAUGGAGGCAUCAGGGAGCAAGGUGUGUUUGGAGAACAACCAAAAGCAAACAAGCACUGUCUCAGAUCACAGGGGCAAGGGGAAUUUUGCUGGCCAUAAGGCAAGGCUGAAGAAAUGGAUAAAUAAUUGUUUGGACAGUCAUAGUAAGAGGGUUACAGUCAACGGCUCUAUGUCCAGGUGGAGGCCCAAGGUCACAAGCAAUGUUCCCUCCCAGAGGAACAUCUUGGAACCGGUACUCUUCAGCAUCUUUAUCAAUGGCACAGACAGUGGGAUUGAGUGCACCUUCAGCAAGCUUUUUGAUGCUAUGCUGAGCAAUGCAGUUGACACAGUGGAAGGGAGGAACACCAUCCAGAGGGACUUGGACAGGCUCAAGAAGCGAGCACAUGAGAAUGUAAUGAGAUACAAUAAGGCCAAGUGCAGCAUGUUGCACUUGGGUCAGGACAGUCCCACAUGUGAGUAUAGGCUGGGGAAACUCAUUGAGAGCAGUGCUACAGAGAAGGACUUGGGGGUCCUGAUGCACUCCAGGGCCUCAAAAGUCUUUUUUGUAGUGAGGGGCCCAGAACCUCAUCCUUAACCCCCUGCAGCUGUGGCUGGAGCCCAUCUCCACCAGAACAGUUACACUCACAAACUUGUCUGUCCUGCCUAACGAGAUGAAAAAGCAUCAAAAGUUGGACAGUGCAGUUUCCAUCAUUUUCACAGCCUUAAUUAAAUUGUGCAAGGGAAAAAAAAAAA